rnacentral:misc_RNA from 1 species
UUUCCGUAGGUGAACCUGCGGAAGGAUCAUUGUCGAAACCUGCCCAGCAGAACGACCCGCGAACUUGUAUAAACAACUGGGGGCGGGGGGCGUUCUCGCCCCGUGCCCCCGAACGGCGGGGAGACACUCGUGCCUUCUUGCCGAACAACGAACCCCGGCGCGGUCUGCGCCAAGGAACUUCAACUAAAGAGUGCCUCCGGUCGCCUCGGAAACGGCGUGCGUGCCGGAGGCGAAUCUUGUGCAAAACCAUAACGACUCUCGGCAACGGAUAUCUCGGCUCUU